rnacentral:lncRNA from 1 species
AAACAAGCACAAUCCUGACAGCAUAAUCAUCCCUCCGCUUCAACUUGACUAAACCAGGUGCACAUCCCUCGAAUGAGUUACUCAGAAUUCUUCAUCAAUCAUCCCCCCAACCCACCAUAUCCAGACAUCAAACUCAACCUAAAAAAAGCCCCCGCUAACAAAGAACCAUCGCUUCGGCAUCUAUACAUUCCACGUCGAGAUCCCUCGGUUUCGUAGGUAGCGCGCUUCUCGUUCGCUAACAAAGAACCAUCGCUUAGCGAGCGGCGUCGAGG